rnacentral:rRNA from 1 species
GACGAACGCUGGCGGCGUGCUUAACACAUGCAAGUCGAACGGAAAGGCUCCAGCUUGCUGGAGUACUCGAGUGGCGAACGGGUGAGUAACACGUGGGUAAUCUGCCCUGCACUCUGGGAUAAGCCUGGGAAACUGGGUCUAAUACUGGAUAUGACCUUUCUCCUUAUGGGGUUUGGUGGAAAGUUUUUCGGUGUAGGAUGAGCCCGCGGCCUAUCAGCUUGUUGGUGGGGUGAUGGCCUACCAAGGCGACGACGGGUAGCCGGCCUGAGAGGGUGAUCGGCCACAUUGGGACUGAGAUACGGCCCAGACUCCUACGGGAGGCAGCAGUGGGGAAUAUUGGACAAUGGGCGCAAGCCUGAUCCAGCCAUACCGCGUGGGUGAAGAAGGCCUUCGGGUUGUAAAGCCCUUUUGUUGGGAAAGAAAAGCAGCAGGUUAAUACCCCGCUGUUCUGACGGUACCCAAAGAAUAAGCACCGGCUAACUUCGUG